AUUGAACGCUGGCGGCAGGCUUUACACAUGCAAGUCGGGCGAGUGGCGAACGGGUGAGUAAUGCAUCGGAAAGUGCCUGGUGGUGGGGGAUAACUGUCGGAAACGACAGCUAAUACCGCAUAUAAUUCGAUCGGCCGAUGUCGGAUUAGCUGGUGGGGGGGGUAAAGGCCCACCAAGGCGACGAUCAGUAGCGGGUCUGAGAGGAUGAUCAGCCACACUGGGACUGAGACACGGUCCAGACGCCUACGGGAGGCAGCAGUGGGGAAUAUUGGACAAUGGGCGCAAGCCUGAUGCAGCCAUGCCGCGUGUGUGAAGAAGGCCUUCGGGUUGUAAAGGACUUUUGGCAGGGAAGCGGUACCUGCAGAAUAAGCACCGGCUAACUACGUGCCAGCCGCCGCGGUAAUAC
rnacentral:rRNA from 1 species